GGAACUUCCUUUUCCACUACUAGCAGAGUAUGAACCUUCACAAGAUAAUGAUUUUGUCUUUGAAAAUUGUUGUUACUGAAUCAUAAUGUUUAUCAGCUAGUUUGCAGUGGAAAGAUCUGUUUCUCAUCACUGGCUAUAAAAUUCGGCUAACAAUCAAGCACCAGGAUCAGCCGUGCUUAGCAUAAACUAAGUCAGAUACUGGCUAGCUAAUUUAGCUAACGUAGGUAGCCUCGAACCCCGGCCAUAUUAUAUUAUAGUUAGCCUCUGCCCGGCCAUACUGCUAACCGCAGUGAACGGCGCCAUCUUGUGUUUUAUUAAAAGCUCUGAUGAAAAAACAUCAACUACAACAGCCAUGGGAACACAUUGGACUAUGUUAACACAAUCGAGACUAAAGGAAGACAAGCUACCUAAAUGUGACUUAUCGGCCAGCAUUGAAGGACAUGUUUUUGAGUUAAGUUUUUAGCCCAAAACCUUGCAUUUAAGCAAAACAACAGCUGAAGGUAGGCAACUUCUUCAGCCUGACUGGCUGUCAUUUCAAUGCUAGCGUUAGCUGCGCUAGCUCACGAUUAGCAUGAAGACACUGAAAAGCUCACAUAAAACAAAUUUGUCCAGUGACAACCUUGUAAAACCUUUGUUAACAUCUACAACAUAUCCGUUUUCGAACAGAAUAGACUUUAAUGUGGACGUUCACUUCGUUUUUUGAAUAUUUACAUUCCAUCAAUGCCUAUUAGGGUAAAAUAACAACUUCAGGCAUAUACCCAGUACUAUAUAGUACUGCAACAAAGGAAUAGGGUUCCUUCUGCUUUAUUUUCACACAAUUGUGUCUUGCAGAAGGGAGCCAUGAAGAGGAGCUUGGAGUGGGCAAGGGAGAGGCUGAUAAAGCAGUAGAGAAGACCUGAUUCAUCAAGUAUCACGGUUAAUUCUGGUGAUUCUGACCUGGUUGGAAUGCGCAACACGGCAAGACACUUCAAUCCGACACUCUUGUUAAUGUUUGACGUCAGGCAAAACGUCUUCAGCCACCGUAGGGUGGAGAGCCGCUGGUUGGCAUUUUUGACAGCGGUGUCUGUGUGGGUGUACCAGGAAAGGACGUUUGAAGUUAGGUCCCCAUGAUAUCAAAGCUCCUUACCAUCUUCACUGCAGCCCAGUCGAUAUCGAUUUUAAAAACUGGAACAAUAGAUAUCGUGUUGCACAUGGCAGCAAAAAUUCACUUGCCCAACUCCAGUUUGCCUAUUGUCCCAACACAUUUGUCAAUUAUGCAUUUUUACCUACGUCAGAGCGUGGUUUCUUUUAUAGCUCUGCUUUCAACACCAUCCUGACCCACAAACUGGUUAGCAGACUCAGGCCUCUGAGUGUAAACCCUGUAAAACGAAUUACAUUUUUUACAUUAUCACAAGAAUGUCUAUCCCCAUAAUGGACACAACACCUAAACAUGAUGACGACAAUACCAUGGUACCACCUGAUCACGAGUACAUGAAGGUGCUGUGGGAUCUGACAUAAUGGUGAUAGAACAACAGCCUCAGCCUAAGCAAAACAAAGUAGAUGGUGAGACUUGACCAUUCUCCCAUCUACUGUACAUUGACAUGGAGAUGAACAGCAGCUUCAAGUUCCUGGGCACCCUGAUAUCCAUUUCUGCCCUCAGUCACUUCACUCAAAGUCCCACCAGUACACCUCCACUUUCCUCAUCAACUUGCUGCACCACAACCUAUGUUCCAACUACAGUGUCUUUUAUUGCCAUAACACAUGUAAAUGAAAUGUUGUCCAUAUUUACUGUAAGAUUUAUUUAUGGUAACAUUGAACAUAUUGUAACAUUAUAGUCAGUUGACAUACAUGACUAUAACUACUAUUAACUACUAUUAACUACUUAGCAUAAUGCUCCGUUUACCCACUCUACUAAGAAAUCAUACAUUUAUUAAAAUAUUAA
ensembl:lncRNA